rnacentral:tRNA from 1 species
UCUCUGGUAGUCCAGUGGCUAGGACUCCACACUCCCAAUUUCGGGGUCCUGGUUCAAUCCCUGGUCAGGGAA